GAAGAACAGUGCUACAGUGUGACACCAGCCUCAGAUAGGAGGGAAGUCUGCACUCUGUAGCUGGCAUGUCCAGCUGCAGCUGAAUUGUUGGCCUCAGGAAAGGCCAUGAAAACCAAAUCAGAAGCUCAGGUCACAGACCCUGCUACACCUGUGAAGAGAGAAUGCAGAAAGUGAUUUUCCCAUGAUUACUGAAGGCCUAAGUGUUGGGAUAAUUAUAUAUGCUGCUACUGACACCUGUGGGCAAGACAGCUUUGCAAGGUGGGAAAAACUCAGUUCUGAAAUCCACCUCCAACUUCUGCAUGUGAUGUCACUUUAUCUAUUCAUUGCUUUUACUGCUCUUUUGCUUUAGUUGUUUUGUUUCUUAUACGUCUCUACCAUAAACUGUGUUCAGUUUUUACUUUGCCCAGGACUUGCCAGUAUUUCAAGUUCACUUUCAUCUGGGAUAUUACAACUAAUAUACACUAGCAAAUAGAUUGCAGAACAUGUUGUAGGAACUUUCCAGGUCAAUGGAUAUUUUCUUUUACACUGAAAACACUGGCAUUGGGGUUAAAUGCUUCACGAGGACGAGAACACAAGGGAUUGCACCAACUGCAAUGUCUCCAAAGCAGCUGAUGCCACUUUGACUGCGAGGAAUCCAUAACUUUCCUGUCAUGUGACAUCGUUGCAGCAACUCUGGUUGUAAGCAUUUAUCAAAUUCUUGAAAAAGUCCAGGUAGUGUUGCAAUUAAAUGUGCUUGUCCUAUUUAGAGAAGAGGCCAGGAGCAGAGCUGAAUAGAGAGGUCAAAUCAGAACCUGUAUUAGUAGUAUUUUUAGAGAAGAGGAAUUACAGUUUGUUGUAAAAUGGAUAAAUGUCUCAGGAACUUUGUAUAAGCCAACAAUCACUUAUUGCACAAGUUAAACUAGUUUUUUUUCUGCACAAUUGCCCAGCAGAGCUAACAAAGCUGAAUCCGCAGUUCUGAGAAUCACAGGAGGAAAUAAAACUCCUGUCUAUUAAAAGGAUACAACAGUAUAUGGAAGAUACAAAGGGAUGUUAAAUAAAGGUCUGUGCCACUGCGUCUACCUUUUUAGUGACAUAUUUUAAAAUCCAGUUAAAUUACAAUAAUUGAACUUUCCUAAUCCAGUAGUGAAGGACUCUGGUACACAGUAAAGUACAGAAAUGCCCUUUAAACAUUUGUUACUGUAAAGAUUUUCUUUCCUGAGUGAAUGUUUAAAAAAAAUUAAGUCAGUGGAAUUGUGCCUUGCAAGAGGAGGGGAAAAACCAUCCAUCAAAGUCCACAGAAGAGUUUCAAGGCUCUAUUAGAAAGGUUGCAGCCACUGCCUCAAGAACUAUGGAAGCAAUCAAGAUGGUGAAAAAGUGCCUCUUGCUGCCAUGUAGGUAUAACGGGGGCAAGUAAAUUCCUUUACAUGACAAUAGUUAAGUGUGAUUGCCACUGACUUUACCCUACUGGGUGAAGAGCUGCUGUGAGGUGGGAAAGCUCAGAGUAGCUUAGCACUGAAAAUAGCAGUGGCUGGCUUGGUUCUCCAGGCAUCCUUGCUGCGGUCUGUGGGGAAGUUAACAUGCUUCAGUUGUGUUGCCUGCAAGACUGCUGCUGAAGGCCUUCUCCAGUAACUGAAAGUCCCCAAGUGCCCUAUUAAGACAACUGUAACAUUCCUCUGCAUGGGGAAUUUAGCUGAAGAUGAGAUCUGGCCCUCUAUUUUUGUGUGUGAAAUGCUUUCUGCACCAGGAGGUUCUGUUUCCAGAAUGAACCUGGACAGGCUACAGCACAGAGAAGUUGGCAGAAUACAGUUCUAAUUACAACUUCUGAUCAAAUGAUGUACAGUUGUAGCGAAAUAUCAAAUAAUAUCCAAAAUCAAUACUGUGGCACUUUUCACAGCUGCAAGCACGACAAAAAAAAAGGUCUUUCACUCUUCAAUAUUUCUUGUAACUUGAAACAAAGGAGCUUUUUAUAUUCAAAAUACCAAGUAGUUGAGUCAUCCAGUAUAGAGAGAUCUCUAAUACUAUAUUCUUGAAUUGGAAUCAGAGGCAAUUUUAGUAUUGUCCAUAAACACCAACCAGCUGACAAGGAUGUUUCAAUUCCAGUCAUGGAUGAUAAACAGCGUGGAGGUGAAAUGCUGCAGCUGCUGACUGGUAGAGAUUGCUAUCAGGAUUAAACAGGGAGCCUGUGUUUUACUGGAUCAAGAAAGAUUAGCUAUGUUUUGAAUAUGGGAUUAUGAAGUAAUUAAACAAAUGAAGGCACAUUUCUGACAUGAAUGCUACAAGUAAGAAUGUAAUUACUUUAUACAUAACGUUUCUGUAAUUUAUCAUUCAGGUCUUUGACUGGCAAACAUAUCAGCCUGCUUCAUCCUAAGUGAAGUCAACGGUAUUGAAGUCACUGAGCCUGGUUUACUGUGCUAACAAGUGUGUUUUACAGGGAUGAUCUAACUGCUGCUGUAAAUAUUUAAUGGGUAGAAGCCCUAUGAGUUUGGGUGGAAAUAACGUUCUGCUGUUCCUUACCAGCCCGACCUGGCAAUUCAUGAGUUGAAGAAAUGGUCAGGAGAGGAUUAAAUUGGUCUGUCCCACAGUGGGAUCAAGAAAGUAGUAAAUAUGCAAAACUGGUAAGCACUGAUGUACCUCCUUGUGCGUAAAAAUCCUCAAAUAUUUAGAAGGUAACGUGGUUUGUAUAUGAUGGCGCUGAAAUGCAGCAAUGUCUGGGGUGAAACACAUGAGUCAAGUGGAACUGAAUAUAGUUCAAUGGCAACAGAUUUCUGUGAGCUCACUGGGGGAAUCUCUUAACCAUAAGAUUGAAGAUGGUGCAAGAUUUUUAAUGUCUGUGCAGAGAAGACGAAUUCUUUGUUGUUAAUAGCCUUAGAGAAAAGGCCCAUAGAGAAUAAAUUGCACAGUACUCCAUUAAUUUCAGUAAGAAAGGAGAAAGUUUUUGUUCACCCUGCCAGUUGGAAGUUAUAUAACCAUUAUCUGUCAUUGAAACUAACAAUUUGAUAGGGAAGUCUGUGCACAACAGAUAUUUGAGAGGAAUGCACACCUUGGACCACCAUCAGAAGCAUGCUAUAGUCCAAUAUAGGAGGGAAGGUGGAGCAAGGUGUUUGGAUAUGGACUGACAUCUGAAUCUGCAGGGCUUUAGUUUGGAUUUCUUCAUUUGUUGUUUUUCUUAGGUUAUAUUUUGCCAUCCUGCAGGCAUGUGGCUUUCAUUAGAUUCUGUGCAUACAAAGGAGAGAAUGCAAUGUGGGGUACUUAUGUGUGUGCUUUUCUCUACUGUUAAAAUUAAAAUAUUAAAAUGCCUUUUUUGUUUG